ACGGGGCCCGCACAAGCAGCGGAGCGUGUGGUUUAAUUCGAUGCAACGCGAAGAACCUUACCAGGGCUUGACAUGCUUGAAGUAGAAACUCGAAAGAGGGACGACCUGUAUCCAAUCAGGAGCUUGCACAGGUGCUGCAUGGCUGUCGUCAGCUCGUGCCGUGAGGUGUUAGGUUAAGUCCUGCAACGAGCGCAACCCUCGUCGCUAGUUAAUUUUUCUAGCGAUACUGCCCGUAUAACGCGGAGGAAGGUGGGGAUGACGUCAAGUCAGCAUGGCCCUUACGUCCUGGGCUACACACACGCUACAAUGGGUGAUACAAAAGGUUGCAAUAGAGUGAUCUGGAGCUAAUCCUGAAAAUCAUCCUCAGUUCGGAUUGUAGGCUGAAACUGCCUGCAUGAAGUUGGAGUUGAUAGUAACCGCAGGUCAGCACACUGCGGUGAAUACGUUCUCGGGCCUU
rnacentral:rRNA from 1 species